rnacentral:rRNA from 1 species
CAGUCGAACGAAGCACCUUGAUUUGAUUCUUCGGAUGAAGAUCCUGGUGACUGAGUGGCGGACGGGUGAGUAACGCGUGGGUAACCUGCCUCAUACAGGGGGAUAACAGUUAGAAAUGACUGCUAAUACCGCAUAAGACCACAGCACCGCAUGGUGCAGGGGUAAAAACUCCGGUGGUAUGAGAUGGACCCGCGUCUGAUUAGGUAGUUGGUGGGGUAACGGCCUACCAAGCCGACGAUCAGUAGCCGACCUGAGAGGGUGACCGGCCACAUUGGGACUGAGACACGGCCCAAACUCCUACGGGAGGCAGCAGUGGGGAAUAUUGCACAAUGGGGGAAACCCUGAUGCAGCGACGCCGCGUGAGCGAUGAAGUAUUUCGGUAUGUAAAGCUCUAUCAGCAGGGAAGAAAAUGACGGUACCUGACUAAGAAGCACCGGCUAAAUACGUGCCAGCAGCCGCGGUAAUACGUAUGGUGCAAGCGUUAUCCGGAUUUACUGGGUGUAAAGGGAGCGUAGACGGAGUGGCAAGUCUGAUGUGAAAACCCGGGGCUCAACCCCGGGACUGCAUUGGAAACUGUCAAUCUAGAGUACCGGAGAGGUAAGCGGAAUUCCUAGUGUAGCGGUGAAAUGCGUAGAUAUUAGGAGGAACACCAGUGGCGAAGGCGGCUUACUGGACGGUAACUGACGUUGUGGCU